AAGCCCAGCGCAUAACCUCCCGGGCUACCAAGCCUGCGGCGGCAUGUUGCGUUAAAGGAAAGGUCGUUUAUAAGCCCUGCACAGCGUAUUCCUAAGUAUGGUUGGAAUCUUCCACUGUGUUUUAACGAACACAACGGCUCCAUAGAGGGUGACAGACCCGUGUGGCUACGUGGAUAUGUGUAUGGGUUCGGCUUUUUUCCUUGAGAGUCGCGUUGCUUGAACAUGCAGCGCUAAGCAGGUCGUAAACUCGACCUAAGGCUAAAUAUUUCCACAGAACCGAUAGCAAACAAGUACCGUGAGGGAAAGUUGAAAAGCACUCUGAAGAGAGAGUUAAAAGACCGUGAAACCGUUUAGAGUAUAAGCCAAUGGUAAUCCGGGAGGCAUGGAGCGCGCUAUUCCCUUGGGAGGAGCUAUCGCGUAUGGAAAAGUCUGAAGGAGUAGUGAGUGGCAUUGAGUUGAUAUCACGGCUGAAGAAAACUCACGGGAUAUUGGAGGUGACACAGGGCCGGGCACCCAUGAGAUGCUGGUCCGAGGCCUGUCUUGACUGAGCACACCUUUUACGACCAUACUUUAACGAGUUCUGCUUAUUAUACAGCCCACCACAAUGCUUUACGAGGUCACCCGCACGAGACGCGGCUGUGUGUUGUCGUGGCGAGCCCACUGGUAACUGCGGUUGUUCUAUCAGGGCCGGCCGACUUCCUCGUGUCCCAGAACGUGUGUUUGGUAUGAUCCUCUUGUGAAGGUUGUUUUCUGACUACCCUAAAGCCGGAAUGCAGGUCAGUACGUCGGGCUAAAGUGCGCGGUAGAUCUCCGCGUGGUCCCGUCGGUGGAGGGUAAGAGGUGAAUUAGUCCGGAGCCAUUGGUCACGUCUCGAAACACGGGCCAAGGAGCAUAGCAUGUGCGCAAGUCCAAGAGUCUCACAAAACUCGGAGGCGAAGUGAAAGCAAAUGGUGUGUCCGUGAUAUUCCUUCGGGGUGUUGCGGGCAGCUAGUAUAAGCGUAAUUCCUGUGCGGAUGACUGCGUAGUCCGGCUUAAACCGAGUUGAUCCAUCGUAAUAAAGCCGCAUGGCGAUACGAAGGCGCAAACUCCGGACUCUCUGUAGGGCUAUAUUAGCUCUUCGAGAGUAC
rnacentral:rRNA from 1 species